rnacentral:rRNA from 1 species
GACGAACGCUGGCGGCGUGCUUAACACAUGCAAGUCGAACGAUGAAGCCGGAGCUUGCUCUGGUGAAUUAGUGGCGAACGGGUGAGUAACACGUGAGUAACCUGCCCUUGACUCUGGGAUAACUGCGGGAAACUGUAGCUAAUACCGGAUACGACCCUCGGAGGCAUCUCCUGGGGGUGGAAAGAAUUUCGGUCAAGGAUGGACUCGCGGCCUAUCAGCUAGUUGGUGAGGUAAAGGCUCACCAAGGCGACGACGGGUAGCCGGCCUGAGAGGGUGACCGGCCACACUGGGACUGAGACACGGCCCAGACUCCUACGGGAGGCAGCAGUGGGGAAUAUUGGACAAUGGGCGAAAGCCUGAUCCAGCAACGCCGCGUGAGGGAUGACGGCCUUCGGGUUGUAAACCUCUUUCAGUACCGACGAAGCGCAAGUGACGGUAGGUACAGAAGAAGCACCGGCCAACUACGUGCCAGCAGCCGCGGUAA